rnacentral:lncRNA from 1 species
GGUCACCUCACUUUUGGCAAAGCUGCCGGCAAUGGCCCCUCGAAAACCAUAAAAUUCACCCCACUGUCAACUGCCACAGCAGACUCAUCCUUUUACGGCCUUGACAUUAUUGGCCUUAGUGUUGGUGGCAAAAAAUUACCAAUCCCCAUCUCAGUGUUUUCAUCAGCAGGUGCUAUUAUUGAUUCCGGAACUGUCAUCACACGCCUGCCACCGGCUGCAUACUCAGCCCUACGAUCAACAUUUAAGAAAUUUAUGUCAAAAUAUCCAACGGCGCCAGCUUUGUCGAUUCUUGACACGUGCUACGACUUUAGUAAUUAUACUUCUAUUUCAGUGCCUGUGAUUAGCUUCUUCUUUAACCGAGGAGUUGAGGUGAGCAUUGAAGGGUCUGCGAUUUUGAUUGGCAGUAGUCCGAAGCAGAUAUGUCUAGCAUUCGCCGGCAAUAGUGAUGACAGCGACGUUGCUAUAAUUGGGAAUGUGCAGCAAAAGACGCUGGAGGUUGUGUACGAUGUUGCCCAAAGGAGAGUCGGUUUUGCUCCUAAGGGUUGUAGCUAGCUAUAUAGCCAGCCAACCAGUUUGGAAUCUUCCCGAAAAUAAGCUUUGUUUUUAAAAAUAAAAUAAAUGGAAGAGUAAUGCUUCAGCUUCGGCGUGUGGGCCAAAACGAAAAGAAAAUUGUUGGUCCAUUAAGAUAUGUUAAUAGUACUAUUUUGAUGCCUACGUACGUAAUUGACUUUAGCUUCUCUUUCAGCUUUUUAAAUUUUGCGGCGGCGUAAUGAAAUUGACUCCAAAAUAACAUUGAGACGUAACGACGCUUUGAUCCUUUUUAUAUUGAAAUUUACCAUAUUAGUCCCUGUCGUUAGUUAUUAGGUGCUAAGGUGGCUUUUGUUUUUUUUUUUUUAAAGCUGCAUAAGCUCCGGAUUCAUCUCAAUGCAUAUAUUUGACUUUUGACACCCCUCAAAAUUCUAUUAAGAUUUUUUUAAAAAAAUUGAAAUUACCCUCAUAACCAAAUUACACAUUAAUUCAUUUUUUUUAAUCUUGAAUGAGAAUUCAAUUAAAAACUAUUCUUUUAAUAAAAAGCCUUACACCCACCCCAUUUUGGAAUAUAUUUUUAUAUUUUAAAAUUUAAUUGAUUUUUUUAGGAAGAUUAUAAUAGUUUAGAGUUAUGGAGAUAGAAACUACGUAAUAAAAGAUAAAUAAUUUAAUAUUUUAGAAUUUGUAUGUAUUUUAUAAAUAAAACUUAAGAAAAAAAAAUUUUUAAGGUAUACUUUUAUGGAAAAAUAGUUAAUAUUAAUACAUGAGUUUGUAUUUUAGAAAUUAAAAUAAGAGUAUUUUGGAAAAUAAAAAUUAAAAGGGGUGUUACUAAAGUUUUAGAGGGGUGUUACGAGCUCCACUCCACAUGAAAAUUGAAGCCCAAUCCAAUUGUCAAAAUAGUGGUCAGCCCUUUAACCCUUUUCAUUCGAUGGACCAUGCGUUGCACGCUCUUGCUGGACCUCCAGGAAGUGGAAAUGCCAUUUUCUAAAGUUUCAAUCACGAGUCUGUUUCACAUUGUGGCCGAAAUAAUCUGGACCUACCAAGUGUCGGCCACUUUCAAAUGCAAAGCAUAUAACACCAAAAAUGACAAAACAGUAUAUAGCUCCAUGAUUGAUUAUUGGUUAGCGGGUCGAAAAUUUUGUAACCAUUAAUAUUUGGCCACGACGUCAGUCCUGCUUAUUCUGAAAAACAUACCGUCAAGUUGACACCACUCAAUCCAAUAAACUGAAAGCCGAAAAGAAAAAUCUUCAUCGGGCACAAGACUUUUGGGCUACAGAGAAUAUUCAUGAUUAUAACUUUAGAAUAUCCCCAACAACAGAAAUUUUAGGAUAUCUAUAAGGUAUAAUAUUAAUUAUAUAAUAAAUAAAUAAUAUUAUAAUAUUUAUUUAUUUUAAAAAUAAAUAUGUAAAUAGUAGUUAUAUAAAAUUUAAAUAUAUAUAUCAUAUAUGAAUUAAUUAAUUAUAUUACCUUUUAUGUAUUUUAAAAUUUCUGGCCCAAAUACAUCUAUGAUGUGCAAAGCUGAUAUCGGAAUUAUGUACAUAUAGAUUGUAAAAAUUUAGCCCGCUGAUUUCAUAAUUUCAUAUGUUUACAAACAAGUGUUUUUUUUUUUUUUCUUCUUCGUCAAUCAGUGUAAAAUUCCAGCCACGAACUUGGUUCUAUGGCCCAAACUAAUUUGAUCAAAUGUCAACAAUUCUCGGUCCUUCACAAUAGACUGCUGAUGUUUGUUUUAUUAGCUAGUCAUCUAAUGUCAUCACCUGCGAUCAUAUCCUAAAUUAUUGCUAAGUCACUAUUUCAAUCAGUGUUCCUGAGGCUUCGUUUGAAACAUUUGAUCCAGCACGUAAUAUAUUUCAUCAAACACUUGAUUUUUUGCCAAGGCAAUGACACUUGAGUUAUCAUCACACUAAAUAAUCCAUGGUUUAGAUAUGAGUUGCAACUUUAGUUCAAGGAUCGUUAGCCGUUUUCUACUACUGUAGUGCCUCUACAUUCUGCUUCUCAAUGUGGGUAAGUACCCUUGACAUCCCUUAAUAUUUUUCAAUGUUGAUUUUUGAGGAAAUCAAAAAUAUUAAUUAAAAACAAAAUUCAUAUUAAAAAUUUUCACCGUGUCACUUGAUGUUGUUUGACUAAUUCACAACUUAAAUAUUAUUCGUAAUCAGUCACUGAAUUAUGUCACAUAUCUAAAUGCUCACCAUCACAUUCAUUCAUCACUGAAGAUUUCUAGUGUUACAAUUAAUGUUCAAUCUUGAACUUGAACUUUGAAAUAAAAAAUUUUAUAUUGUCCGACACAAAAAAAAAAAAAAAAGGCCGUAUGUUUUUCUAAUGAAAAUAGCUUCUGGCCGUUCUAUUGCUCCCACAUGUAACUCAUAGUUUUCUUAUUAGUAACUGCAAGUACAAACAGCUUUAUUUAAUAUUUAUCAAUAACUGCAAGUACAAACAGCUUUAUUCAAUAUUUAGAUCGAGUACAGCAAGGACCAUACAAUACUUGAAAUUAUUAUUGAUUAACUGCAAUUUCCAGGACCAAAACCAAGUCUCCUUCCAGCAACAUCGUAGUGCACUUCGUGCCCUCGCUGCUGAACAUUCCCAAGAAGAAAAGAAUUGGUAUCCGAAGGAUAUACAGCGAAGCCUAAACACACUUGGCUCACAGAAGCGACGACCAAUGUCCCCCUCACGUCCAGUUCAAGAUCAACGCCACCUAAGAAGUGGAUUGUAAUCUUUGGUACAACAACUGUUUCAUAAGCACGCAAAUCGUAACAUGUAUCAAGAAUAUCGCCAGCUCCUUUUGCCCUUUUAUAUUUCUUCAUCCUUUUACGAAAUGCUGAUCUCAGAGCUGCGUACAUGGGUGAAGGAAGCCGGGUGAUGACGGCUCCCGAGUCGAUUUCUGUGCUCAACUUAGUAAAAUAUGAAGUACUAAAAGGAAGUUUUUUCCCACCAACACUUAUGCCAGUGAGGGUAAUAUCGUAAUAUUCAGACUGUUCGGGAGUAGUGAUUAUUGGAGUAUAUUUUAUGAACUUGGUUUUCACAGUAUUACGUUUGCCAAAGGUUAUGUAUCCUCUGGAGCCGUAUGGUGAGGGAAGACAAUAUGAGAAGUAACUUAUUUUAGUUUUUGUAAUUAUGGAUACCGGACUUCGGUCAAGACCCAUAAUUCCGGAUGCCCCGCUUUUGUCGCCACUGCUGUUCCUGAUACAUCCCAACAGAAAAGGGUACCGCGUAAAGUAUCCUUUGAUGUUGGCUUCUUGUAUAGUCAUCCUAUCAGUCGCCCAAAACCCGCUGUUGCCUGAGCCGUCAACAUAUGCAAUGUUGAAAUGGCAUUCCCUCGAAUUGCAAUUGUCUGCACUUAUUUGAAGCAAAAAAAAAAAACUCCAAUUAUUUUCACAUGGAAUUUGGAUCUACAGCUUAUUUUGUUUGUGCUUAUUUUUUUAGGCGUAAUUUAUAACACAGUAUAGUUUUGAUUUAAUAGUCUAUAUAUAUAUAUUGUUAUCAAAUGUGUUAAUUUUGUUGAUGAAAAGUAAAGAAGUAGUAAAUCUUGACCAUCUGAAGGAAAUAAUCCACGGAGUUUCUUGCACGUCGUAGAGUUGCAAGGGAUUUUGGAAAAGGUUUUGGACUUGGAUGGAUCAAAAAGCGGGUCUCUUUGUUGAAAGCAAUGAAUGCAGGGCUUGCACUGAGUCCAAGUGACGUCGCUACCAGUAUCCAAAAGGAGAGAAACAUACUGUUUCGGCUUCCCAAUGGCGACUACAGUAUAAUACUCAUCGGCUGAUACACUUUCGAUCUUGGCAGGGAAGGUAAAGGCCUUUGUUUUCUUUAAAUUGUCAGGAACGGCUUUUUGCAAACGCCCGGAAUACUUUGAAUAGAGUCGUUGUUGGUCUCUACGCAGAGUUUCUUCGAGGGAGGGACUUUUCCCUUGAUUCAGCGUAGAACAUGGGCCGUGCUUGCUUACUACAUCUAGAGAUGCUUUGCCGAGACCUUAGAUACGCAGACAUAGCAUUUAAUGAGUGCUAAUUAUUAUGAUUAUAAAAACAAUAACAAUGAGAGAAAUCAAAACCAUGUGUAUAUAUAAAUAUAUAGUAUAAUAUAAGAACCUUGGGGCAAAGCUGUCCGUGUGCGGUUGCAAACCGUCGGUGGUAAUAGAGAAGUGACUGAAACAGUGUAACUGUGGGAGAGGUUGUUGUCGUUGGCAGAGGCGCCGUUGUUGGAUGAGCAGGGAAGCCAUAUAAAAAGAACAAAAGCCUUGAGGAGAAUCCACAUUAUGCACUCAGAGGACUGUUAUUUGUGUGGCUAAAUGUAUGUCCACAAAGCUUCCAACUAAACAUUUGCUAUCUUGGCUUCACUUAUAUAUAGCAAUUUGAAAUGGAAAUCGUUUAAGAUACGAAUCUAUAUAUCUAUAUAUAAAGUUGGGACUUGAGGAGGUGAUAUGGCAUCACCACUUCGCUUUUUUGUAUAUUCUCUAUUAUCUAAUAAAUAAAAUUUUUUUUUUAGAUUUGCCUUUUCAUCUUCUCAUAAUUAAUUUGAUUAUAUUUAACUCAUUAAUAAUUAGCAACUUGAUUAAUAUAUAUCAUUCCUCAUCUUUUAUAUUUUUUAUUAUCUAAAAUAUUGGUAGAUAUUCUUUGUACUUUUUUUCCUCUUUCUAUUUAAAUUCAACAAUAUGUAAUCAUUAAUAAUAACUAAUUAUAAGUCUUUUGAAACAUUUAUUUAUUUUAUUAUGCUACCAAUUAAACUUUAGUGGCUUAAAAUACAUGAAUUAAUUAACAUAGGAAGAGAGGUUCUUUCAUUUUCCCUCAACAAUGCCACUAAGACCUAAUUUUAAUGCCAUAAUCACAUAUUUAAUUAUGCAACUUUUUGUUGAGUGUCUUUUGGCUUCUUCAAAAUUUAUUAUGCUAUCAAUUAAACUUUAGAGCCUUAAAAUACAUCACCUAAUUAACAUAGGAAAAGAGGUUCUUUCAUCUUCCCUCAACCUCAUCUUUUUAUAUUCUCUAUUAUCUAAAAUAUUUAAAAUAUUGUUGGAUGCUCUUUGUACAUAUAUCAUAAUAUGACACUCAAAAAAAUAAAGAUAAAAAAAACAUAUUUAUAAUAAAGAUAUCAGUUAAUAGAUAAUUAUUUAAUAAAUUGGUUGAUAUUAAAAAAAUAAUUACAUUACAAAAUAUUAAAAAUAAAAAAAUAAUUAUUAUAUUAUAAAAGAUUACAUGUCUCUUCCUCUUUCUAUUUAAAUUCAAUAAUAUGUAACCAUUAAUAAUAAUUAAUUAUAAAUCUUGAAAUAAAUUAAUUAUAAGUUUUGAAACAUUCAUUUAUUUUAUUAUGUCAAUAAUUAAACUUUAGUGGUUUAAAUACAUCAAUUAAUUAAUAUAGGAAGGAAGGUUUCUUCAUAAUCUUCAACAAUACCAUUAGGGCCUAAUUUUAAUGUCAUAAUCUCAUAUUUAAUUAUUCAAUCUUUUAUUUAGUGCCUUUUGGCUUUUUCAAACUCUAUAAAUAUUAAGUAGUUAAGAUUUAUGGCAUCAUUAUUUCUCAUAUUUUUUUAUUCUCUAUUAUCUAAUAUAUUGGUUGAGAUUAAAAAAUAAUUACAUUACAAAAUAUUAAAAAUAAAAAAUAAUUAUUAGAUUACAAAAGAUUACAUGUCUCUUCCUCUUUCCAUUUAAAUUCAAUAAUAUGUAACCAUUAAUAAUAAUUAAUUAUAAGUUUUGAAACAUACAUUUAUUUUAUUAAGCCAACAACUAAACUUUAGUGGUUUAAAAUAAAUCAACUAAUUAAUAUAGGAAAAAAUGCUCCUUCAUUUUCCCUCAACAAUGCCAUUAGGGCCUAAUUUUAAUGCUAUAAUCUCAUAUUUAAUUAUGCAACAUUUUGUUUAAUGCCUUUUAGUUUCUUCAAACUCUAUAAAUAUUAAGUAGUUAAGAUUUGUGACAUUAUUAUUUCUCAUUUUUUAAUAUUCUCUAUUAUCUAAUAUAUUGGUUGAGAUUAAAAAAUAAUUACAUUACAAAAUAUUAAAAAUAGAAAAUAAUUAAUAGAUUACAAAAGAUUACAUGUCUCUUCCUCUUUCUAUUUAAAUUCAACAAUAUGUAACCAUUAAUAAUAAAUUAAUUAUAAGUUUUGAAACAUUCAAUUAUUUUAUUAAGCCAACAACUAAAUUUUAGUAGUUUAAAAUACAUCAACUAAUUAAUAUACGAAGGAAUGUUCCUUCAUCUUCCCUCACCAAUGCCAUUAUGACCUAAUUUUAAUGUCAUAAUCCCAUAUUUAAUUAUGCAACUUUUUAUUUAGUGUUUUUUGGCUUCUUCAAACUCUAUAAAUAUUAAGCAUUUAAGAUUUGUUAUGUUUGUGUUUUUUUUAUUAUUUAACCAACAUCCUCUCUAGAAAUGUUAUUGUGUUUUUAUUUUUUGACUUAUUUAAAUUUUUAGUAUUGUGUGCUUCAUAGAGUACUAUUUUCUUCAUAAGUUAAACAACGAUAAAGAUAGUUGGAUGAUAAAGGUUAGACUUUGUAAGAUGUGGGAGUCUGUUAAUACCAAAAAAAAUAGAGAGUUGAUUAGUGUGAACAUGAUUGUUAUUGAUGAAAAGGUUAUGUACACUUAACUAUACACAUUAAUAUAUUUUUUUAAUGUUAACAAAAAAAUAAUAAACUUUCAUAAAUAACAUUAGCGUUAUAAUAAGGCUGGGUCAUCUUUAAAAAAAAAUAAUUCAUAUUUUUUAUCAGUUUCAUCGAGUGCAAAAUAAUAAAAAAAUAAUAAUACUAAAUUCUUUUUUUUAAAACCGCACGAAGUGCUGUUCUAUUUCCUAGUUCUUUUCAUAAAUGGAGUAAUAAUGGACUGCUACGUUCGUAAUUGAUUUUAUUUUUCCUGUGCGCUUUCUGUAUUUUGCGUCGGUGCAAACGAAAAUAUGAUAUUGAGUCCAAAAUAACCUUGAAUUUGACAUAUCGACACUUUGAUCCUUUAUAUUUUGGAAAUACCAUAUUAUUUUCUGUCGUUAUUUAGUAACAGCUAAGGAAUAAUGGACAAAACUGAAUUUGCAUAAGUUUUGAAUUUAUAUGAAUGCAUAUAUCUCAAUUUCGACAUCCUCAAAAUUUCUUAUGGAAUCCCCUUUUUAAUUGAAGUUACCUUUUUAAUAAAAGAAAAAUUAAUUCAUUUCUUAUCAUGAACGAGAAUUCAAUUAAACACUAUUCUUUUACUAAAUAUUUUACACACAUUCUAUUUCAUAAUUUAUAUUAUAUUUUAAAUUUUAAAUAUUUUUUUAAAACAAAAUUAUAAGAUCUUAAUGUUAUGGAGAUAGAAACACUAUACUAAGAAAUAAUUUAAGAUUUUAUGAUUUGUAUAUAUUUUAUACUUAAAAAGUUAAGAAAAAUAUUUUUAGGGUGAAAUUUCAUGGAUUGAUGAUGACACACCUACAAACUCUUAUAUACAAAAUAUUUUUAUACAUGAUCGACAUGAUUAAUUUUUUUAUUUUAUAUUUCUACUCAAUCAAUAAUCUAAUGCUACAAUUUAUACAAGAGUUUAUAAAUAUAAUAUUACUAGCUCCUAAUAUUACUGCAUUUUUUUUAAUAAACUAAAAUGAGGGAAUUUAAGAAAUAAAAUUCAAAAUGUAUGUUAUGAAGAUCUUAAUAGUUGUUUAAAGCUUCACUCUAUGAAAAUUGUAUAGUUAUCGGGCCUUUUCAUUCUCCUCGAGAAAGUGGCAAUUUAUGUCAUGCUCUAAAGUUUCAAUUUUCACAUUAUGGCUGAAGUGAUUUGGACCGAGAAAGAGUCUUCCACUUUCAAAAGUAAAGUAUACACCAAAAUAACAAAAAAAAUAUCUUGCUCCAUGAUUUGAUUAGUUAGUGGGCAUAAAACUAAAACGAAAGAGCAUUGUUGUAUCUCUUUAUUGGGCACAAAGACUUUAGGGCUACACAAUGUUCAUGAUUAUAGCUUUAUAAUACGCCCUAAAGAUCUAUCGUGUGGGCAAAGCUGGUUUAAGAAUUACGCACGUAUAAAUUGUAAAAUUAGCCUACUGAUUUCAUAAUUUCCCAAGUAUUGUUUCUUCUUCGUCAAGUAGUGUAAAAUUUCAGCUGUGAACUUGAUCCUAUUUAUAAAACUAAUUUGAUCUAAUGUCUAUAAUUCUCUAUCUUUACAAGGGACUGCUGAUGCCUGUUUUAUCAGAUGGCCACCUACCGUCAUCUCCCAAGAUCAUAUCCUUAAUUCUUGCUGAGUCACUAUUUCAAUCAGUGUUGUUGAAGUUCCAGUGAGACAUCUGAUCGAGCACCUGAUUCAUUUCAUCAAACACAAAGGCAGUGACGCUUGGGUUGUCAUCCUAUUGUAUCCUUGGUUUAGAUAUGAGUUGCAGCUUUAAUUAGGGAGCUAAGACAAUAACCAAACCACUUCUGCAACUGUGCUAUAGUGCUCUAUGGGUGCAUUUGGCACACUGUAUUAUAUUAGUACUGUAUUAUAAUAAUACUGUAUAAUGUUUGGUACUACAUUAUACUGUAUUAAUUUUUGUGUGAUUAAUUUAAAUAUUAUAUUAUAUUAAUAUUUAAAUCUGCUGUACGGCCAAGGCAGAUUGAAGAAUAAAUUACAUAAUUAUUAAUUUAUAUGAAUAAUUAUAAUGUAAAAUAAAAAUAUUAUAUAAUAUUUUUUAAAAAAUUAAUUUAUUAUUGUUGUUGUUGUUAUUAUUAUUAUUAUAAAACAAAAGCAAAAGCAAAAGGGGAAAAAAAAAAGGAAAGAAAGCAAGCUGCAAUUGCCAUUAGCUUAGGCCUAUUAAUGCAGUGCUGCUGUAGCUUUUUAUUGGGCCUUUAUAAAUUUAAUACAGAGAGAAGUUUUAAUACCUCAACCAAACAUGCCCUAUAUUCAGCUUCUUUAUGUGGAGUCAAUGCCCUGAUUGCCAGUCUAUUUUUCAAAGUUAAUUUCAUUAAUUAAAAAUUGAGUUCAUAUUGAUAAUUUUAACUGCUUUCUUAUUUAAAAAAAAUUGUUGUGAGCUUUCCAACUCCAUGAACUUUUCAUUAUAUUAUAUUAUUUUAUUUAUGUAGUAUUACAAUAAUGAUUUAGUUGGUGACAAUACUCAUCUUAUGGUGAGCGAUAAUAUUACAUAAUGUUAUUUAGUUGAUUCACAACUUCAACAUUAUUCAUGAGGAGUCAUGAAAUUCUAUCAUGUAUAUGGUGCUCACUAUAUUAUAAUUAUUAUUGGCACUUGUACAAUCAAACAUCCAUUUUAAUUUCUUUAAAAAAAAUUCAUUUUAGUUGGAAUUAAAAAAAUCAUCUAUGUUAAUUUUACUUGUUUAUAUUUUGCAUCGGUGUAAUGAAAGUACGAAAUUGAGUUCAAAAUAACCUUGACAUUAUUGGCCUUAGUGUUGGUGGCAAAAAAUUACCAAUCCCCAUCUCAGUGUUUUCAUCAGCAGGUGCUAUUAUUGAUUCCGGAACUGUCAUCACACGCCUGCCACCGGCUGCAUACUCA